rnacentral:tRNA from 1 species
CAAAGUGUAGCUUAAGUAAAGCACCUAGUUUACACCUUAGGAGAUUUCAUAUAAACUGAACAUUUUGA